UCAGCAAAAUGUACUGUGUGGAGUCCUGACAGCCAUGCGACCUUCAGGCACGCCAAGAGCAUUGAGUGUGAAUUCAACCUUUUCAGUCAGCAAGGCGCAGAUGCAUAACCAGGCGGUAGGCGGUGUCGAGAUGAAUCUGAGUAUCCCCCUUCAGAACCACCGGCUGUCAGAAACUCGCUGAAGUGGGGUAAAUGCAAGCUUCGUACUUCCUAUGAGAAGCAGCGGCCACAGAAGUAUCUGUAGAUGCUCUGGCUGAAGAGGAAAGGCUUUGUGGUCUGAUUUUGUGGUGGGAAGGACAAACAAGGUUUUCCCAUGAAAUGGAAUCUCAAGAUGUUGCUGUGGCUGGUCUCCAGCUCACGGGCUCCAGGGAUCUAACUGCUUUGGCUUCUCAAGAAGUCAGGGUUGCCGAGGCAGUGGUGGCGUACACCUGUAAUCCCAGCACUCGUGAGGCAGAGGCAGGUGAA